AGAGUUUGAUCCUGGCUCAGAUUGAACGCUGGCGGCAUGCUUUACACAUGCAAGUCGAACGGUAACAGGGAGCUUGCUCCGCUGACGAGUGGCGAACGGGUGAGUAAUGCGUCGGAACGUGCCGAGUAGUGGGGGAUAACUAUCCGAAAGGAUAGCUAAUACCGCAUACGCUUUGAGAAGGAAAGCAGGGGAUCGCAAGACCUUGCGCUAUUCGAGCGGCCGACGUCUGAUUAGCUAGUUGGUGAGGUAAAGGCUCACCAAGGCAUCGAUCAGUAGCGGGUCUGAGAGGAUGAUCCGCCACACUGGGACUGAGACACGGCCCAGACUCCUACGGGAGGCAGCAGUGGGGAAUUUUGGACAAUGGGCGCAAGCCUGAUCCAGCCAUGCCGCGUGUCUGAAGAAGGCCUUCGGGUUGUAAAGGACUUUUGUCAGGGAGGAAAUCCCUAGCGCUAAUAUCGCUGGGGGAUGACAGUACCUGAAGAA
rnacentral:rRNA from 1 species